CCAUCUUCACCAUUUCGAUUUUCGAACUUCUCUAUUCAAACAGAGCUCGGAAAGUAAAGGAUUUUCCUGGGAAACAAACAGUACAACCGGAGAUUCAACAUUAAUGGCAACAACAACCACCUUCGAUCCCAAAACCCAAAUUUACACAUCCCCAAGACCACCCAUCAACAUACCCACAGAACCAAAUCUCUCUCUUACCUCGUUCCUCUUCCAAUCAAUCUCUAUUAGUUCUUCGCCACAAAACACCGCCCUCGUUGAAUCCGAUUCCGACGAAGCUUUGACCUUUGACCAACUCAAAACCAAUGUCUGUAAGCUCGCUCAUUCUCUUCUCCACCACCUUAGACUCU
rnacentral:lncRNA from 1 species